UACGUAGGGGGCUAGCGUUGUCCGGAAUCAUUGGGCGUAAAGCGCGUGUAGGCGGUCCGGUAAGUCCGCUGUGAAAGUCGGGGGCUCAACCCUCGGAUGCCGGUGGAUACUGUCGGGCUUGAGUACGGAAGAGGCGAGUGGAAUUCCUGGUGUAGCGGUGGAAUGCGCAGAUAUCAGGAGGAACACCUAUAGCGAAGGCAGCUUGCUGGGACGUUACUGACGCUAAGGCGCGAAAGCGUGGGGAGCGAACAGG
rnacentral:rRNA from 1 species